rnacentral:rRNA from 1 species
GAUUAACGCUGGCGGCGUGCCUAACACAUGCAAGUCGAACGACCCGAUAGUAAUAUUGGGGAGUGGCAGACGGGUGAGUAACACGUGGGCAACCUACCCUUGAACGGGGAACAACCUCGAGAAAUCGGGGCUAAUACCGCAGAUAUUCCGUUUCAUAAGGAACGGGAUUAAAGGUCUUGUAAGAGACUGUUUGAGGAUGGGCCCGCGACCUAUUAGCUUGUUGGUAGGGUAACGGCCUACCAAGGCGACGAUGGGUAGCCGGCCUGAGAGGGUGAACGGCCACACUGGGAUUGAGAUACGGCCCAGACUCCUACGGGAGGCAGCAGUGGGGAAUUUUGGACAAUGGGGGAAACCCUGAUCCAGCGACGCCGCGUGAGGGAUGAAGGCCUUCGGGUUGUAAACCUCUGUCAGAGAGGACGAAUUAGCUCCGAUUCUGUCGGAGCAGGACGGUACUCUCAGAGGAAGCCACGGCUAACUCCGUGCCAGCAGCCGCGGUAAUACGGAGGUGGCGAGCGUUAUCCGGAUUCAUUGGGCGUAAAGGGCGCGUAGGUGUCUCCAUAAGUCGGAUGUGAAAUCCUUCUGCUCAACAGAAGAAUGGCAUUCGAAACUGUGGAGAUUGAGUACAGAAGAGGAGAGUGGAAUUCCUGGUGUAGCGGUGAAAUGCGUAGAUAUCAGGAGGAACACCGGUGGCGAAGGCGACUCUCUGGUCUGAUACUGACACUGAGGCGCGAAAGCUAGGGGAGCAAACAGGAUUAGAUACCCUGGUAGUCCUAGCCAUAAACGAUGCUCACUAGGUGUGGGAGGUAUCAAUUCCUUCUGUGCCGCAGCUAACGCAUUAAGUGAGCCGCCUGGGGAGACGACCGCAAGGUU